rnacentral:rRNA from 1 species
CUCCAACAUGACGCAUGUNGUGUCGGGAAAGAUUCAUCGGUAUGGGAUGGGGUCGCGUCCUAUCAGGUAGUCGGCGGGGUAACGGCCCACCGAGCCUACGACGGGUAGCCGGCCUGAGAGGGCGACCGGCCACAUUGGGACUGAGAUACGGCCCAGACUCCUACGGGAGGCAGCAGUGGGGAAUAUUGCACAAUGGGCGCAAGCCUGAUGCAGCGACGCCGCGUGCGGGAUGACGGCCUUCGGGUUGUAAACCGCUUUUGACUGGGAGCAAGCCCUUCGGGGUGAGUGUACCUUUCGAAUAAGCACCGGCUAACUACGUGCCAGCAGCCGCGGUAAUACGUAGGGUGCAAGCGUUAUCCGGAAUUAUUGGGCGUAAAGGGCUCGUAGGCGGUUCGUCGCGUCCGGUGUGAAAGUCCAUCGCUUAACGGUGGAUCCGCGCCGGGUACGGGCGGGCUUGAGUGCGGUAGGGGAGACUGGAA